UGGGGAAUAUUGGACAAUGGGCGAAAGCCUGAUCCAGCCAUGCCGCGUGUGUGAAGAAGGUCUUCGGAUUGUAAAGCACUUUAAGUUGGGAGGAAGGGCAGUAAGCGAAUACCUUGCUGUUUUGACGUUACCGACAGAAUAAGCACCGGCUAACUCUGUGCCAGCAGCCGCGGUAAUACAGAGGGUGCAAGCGUUAAUCGGAAUUACUGGGCGUAAAGCGCGCGUAGGUGGUUCGUUAAGUUGAAUGUGAAAGCCCCGGGCUCAACCUGUGAACUGCAUCCAAAACUGGCGAGCUAGAGUAGGGCAGAGGGUGGUGGAAUUUCCUGUGUAGCGGUGAAAUGCGUAGGUAUAGGAAGGAACACCAGUGGCGAAGGCGACCACCUGGGCGCAUACUGACACUGAGGUGCGAGAGCGUGGGGAGCAAACAGG
rnacentral:rRNA from 1 species